UGUAAGGUGCGUAUACGCAUGCACUCGAAAGCUGAGAUGGCCUUAGGAGGUUUAACAAAAAAUAUAUGAACACAUAAUUGAAUAACAUUAGAAUAACAUAAGAUAACACUUAUGAUCCUUCUGAUCAUUUGCUUUCACUGUUUUCUGUAGAUUCUGUUCUCACCUGCAGGUGACAUCUUGUAUCUCCUUACAGUUGUUUCUAGCAGGUUAAUAAAUAUUUGUGUGGACUUUGCGACUCCUUGCUUAGCUCACUGAGGAAAUCUGCCUACCUAGCAGUGACAGACAUGAACAGAUCCAGGAGACACAGUUACAUGAGCUGAUAUUCCACACCUCUCCAAGCAAAAGAGACCUAUGAAUCAAAGCUUCCAGUUAGAGACAGGCUCCUGAAUCAUAUUUGAGCUUGUUUACUGAGUGGUGACUGCCUUACUAGGACCAUGAAAUGUGGACUCCAAACUAGAUGGACAAUCAAUCUGGUCACCUGCACCUACAUAACCAGCCAACUCUGCUACAGCAUGUGCUUGGCAAAGGCCAGUGGACUGUCUGAGUACCAGGUCUGUGUUGAUAAACUUCAGACUGAAAGCUGCUGUAACUUUAUAUCGCAUGCUGGGACACAGAUGGACUGUGGAAAUAUGCUGGAUGCUGGAAUUUCUGUCCUGUCACAGAACAGGCCCCUUCUGUCCUGCCUCUAAAUAUAUAUAUACAUAUAUAUAUUGGGUUUGAUAUAAAACCCUUUGUAAGUGUUUCUCCAAGCUUUGUAAGCUACUUUAUAUAUUUAAUAUGGAAAAUACAGUUUUAGCUCUUACAUUUUUCUACCCAGUGUUGUGGAAAUCCAGUAAUUUCUUAGCACUGUUUGUUGCAGAAAUCUCUUCAGUGUCUUUGAGUUCUUCGCUUUUGUUCAGAAUCCCAUAUCUGUAACCAGAGCUGUUAUGCUGUUCCACACCUGAAGGGCACCUGUAGAGAUUACUGUCAUUCUGUAUGAGUUUUAUUAUAGAGUUGGAGAAUAAAAUGAAAUAAAAUAAAAUAAGAAAUAAAUCA
rnacentral:lncRNA from 1 species